AAAUAUGUCAUCCGCCACCUUCAAUUCCUAGAUACGGCUCUGUCUCAAAUCCAAAAAUUAAAUCACGAAAAAGAGUGAAUAUUCACAUCCGCCGUGUGGUGCAACUCAACAGAUUCUAAGAAUAAACUUCCCUUCAAAUUAAUCGUCUUGUGAAAAUCGGUUUGGAAUCGUGAAGAAAGAAUCCAUCGUUUUUGUUGAACAAAGGUACCUGAAAGAAGGGGAAGAUCCAUAGCUGGGUUUUCUUUUUUUUUUGAAAAGACAAAAAACUCCUCGGGUUAAAGUGCUGCUAGCGUCUUUAUUGGGGGCAUUUAAGGAAAACAAAAGCUUUUUAGGUGUCUGAGGUCAUGAAUCUAAAAUUCCUUUGAAUUGAUUAGAGGAUUGGGUUUCAUGUUCUUAUGCCUUGUAGUUGCUGACUCAUUUAAUUGCAGAGAAGACAUAAAAAAUGGUAAAUUCUCUGGCUUUCACAUCUCCAGCAACCCUUAUCAGAUCCAAAAUUGGGACUUUAACUAGGGCAAAUGAGGCAUCUAUUCCGAUACGAUUAUUCAGAGUUGAGGCUUUGCAAGAUAAUGGCGGAGGGCCUCGGCGACUGGUUGAUAUUAUUCGUGUCGCGCCAGAGAUUUCAAGAAAUUAUUUUAAAAGCCCAUCAAGGAGGGCACUAUUUGGAGGUAUAUCAUUGCUGGGUGGAUUUUAUGUGGCUCAGACAAUUUCUCUAUCUUUUGGUGCUUUAGGAGUCAAUGAUGUCAUUGCUGCUGUAGUCUGCGUCUUAAUUACCGAGUAUGUGACGCGGUUUUAUUACAGUCGGCCUAAAGUGACUUUUCCAAUUGCUCUUUUGAAUAACUUCAAGAUGGGUUUUACUUAUGGUCUGUUCAUUGAUGCUUUCAAACUUGCCAGCUGAACUAAUUGCCCCAGUUUUGCAGCAGACAUCUUUCAUGUUCAGCCUCUCAUUAAGAGAUUCAACGGUAUAAUUCAAAGCCAACUCCAAAAUAGAGGACAUAAUGCACCUUUUUCUUGAAAUCAAUCUCUUCUGGUCCCAAUAAGGCGACAUUAAAAAUAUCCUCUGGUGUUGCAGAAUUUUACUCUACUACUGGUUGGCAAAUUAAUUGCAGAAGAGGUCUAAAUGAUUGGGAGAUGGAUGACAUAUGUCAGUUAUUACAGCAAUUGGAUGUUGUUGCUGUGGAAGAAAACAAGAGGGAUUCGUUGAUUUGGAUUGCAAGUAGGGAUAAGAAGUUCGCAGUCAAGAGUUGUUACAAUUUACUACAACAACAGAUAGGACACUGGGAAUCUGAUUGGCCAUGGAAAAUACUCUGGAAGACUAAAGCACAUGUAAAGGUGGCAUGUUUCGGGUGGAUUACUACUAUGGGAGCUUGUUUGACCCAAGAUAAUCUGCAGAAAAGAGGCUUUGCACUAAGUAAUAGAUGUUAUCUAUGUGAAAGAGACCAGGAAACUACAAAUCACCUUCUUCUACAUUGUGAAAUCUCAAGGCAGUGUUGGGAUCUUUUCUUGAAUAUCUGUGGAGUAUCCUGGGUAAUGCCCCACAAUGUUAGGAGUUUGCUGGAGAGCUGGCAGAGUCAAAGAAUAGCUAAAAGAUAGCAGCAAUUUUGGAAUACCAUUCCUCUAUGCAUCUUUUGGACUUUAUGGCUGGAAAGAAACAAGCGAUGCUUUGAAGGACAAAGAAGAUAUAUCUCUAGAAUUAAGAACAAUUGUCUGCAUAAUUUGUAUUUCUGGUGUAAGAGCAGUAUUAUGGAGAAUGUAGACCAAUAUUUAGACUUUAUUGAGAUGCUUGGAAUGUUAUUGUAACUGGCUAUUCUGGAGCCUUCUUUCAUGUAAUUUUGUGUCA